CCAGAACCUGAGAAGAACAAGCAGAAACAUGGAUGUCAUUCCUGAGGCAAGGAUGUGCUAGCGCCAUCGGAGGAGCGUGGUACUACAGUAGCUGUCCAGCAAAAACUGCAGCUAUUCACUUCCUCUGAAAAUCAUUCACCUUUUCUUCCCUUAUGGACAUUAAUGCUAGUGUUUGAUACCUCUCAGGUCUGAACUUCUGGGUGCAUUCAUAUUUUUUCAGACCAUUGAGCUGUACGACCAAACAGUUUCCAAUCUGAGAACUGCCAGCAAAACAGGUUCAUUCUGGUCUUCUGAGUCUGAUUAGUAUUCAAUAUCAUUUAAGUAAAAUGUUGACAGGAGGAAAGAAGAUACCUGUGACACUUUAGAAAGGAUGAGCAUCUGGAUACAGUUGACAGUCCUCUGGUAAGAGGCCGAAUACUCCCCACAGUCAGGUGGGCCAGCGAACGCCUCAAGGACACACUCCCGGACUUUGUUCCUAGAGGAAUGUAUACUGGAAAUAAUUUUACCGUCAUGAAUAUUUUUAAAUGAUGCAAUUGUUUAGAAAUUUUUAAAUCCUCUGUCACUGGAAAUGAUCAAAACUACAUUUUGCACCUCUGGAGAAGCCCUUUAACACCUUUACCUAUCUCUAAAGCCAUCUUCAUCUGUCAUCAGUGGAAAUAUUUAUAGAGAAGUAGGGAAAGUUAAAAAUUCUCACCAUUUCGAC